GCAUGUGUUUGUCAUUCCCGUGUGGAUUUUUUUCAAAGAUAUUGUCAUCUGUGUAGAAGCCAGUUUCGAUCUCUGGUUUCUACCCCUUGCCCUGCUGGCAGGGCAUUGUGUGGCACCCGUUGCAGGCCACCUGGGUGCAGGAGAUCGAGGAGGGUGAAGGGAGGAGCAACCCUGAGCAACUGCCAUCCAGCUCCAUCCGAUCUAGAGCAAUUCCAGGAUGGCGCGAAUAAGGCGGAUGCUCAGGAGAAAGGCCGGGCAGGUGGCUCCAGAGCCAGUAGUAAACAUCAGCCAGCCUUCCCAGGAGGAGAGCGGCCCCUCUGUCCCCGUGGGCGGGGAAGAGUCUUGUGGCCAGGGGAAAGAGAGGAGCUGCGUCGCAUGCUAGAGGAGGAG